rnacentral:rRNA from 1 species
AGACGUCUACAUUAGAUACCCCCGUAGUCCCAGCCGUAAACUAUGCGCGUUAGGUGUAUCGGUGACCACGAGUUACCGAGGUGCCGAAGGGAAACCGUGAAACGUGCCGCCUGGGAAGUACGGUCGCAAGGCUGAAACUUAAAGGAAUUGGCGGGGAGCACCACAACAGGUGGAGCCUGCGGUUUAAUUGGACUCAACGCCGGGAAGCCCACCGGAUAGGACAGCAGAAUGAUUGCCGGGCUGAAGACCCUGCAUGACUAGCUG